ACGCGUAUUAUUGGGCUGUACAUUCCUGGGUUGAGCAUUCUCGGGCCGCGCAAUAUUGGUCCGGGGCGAUAAUACGAAGCCACUCUUUUCACAGGGCAAUAAUGUACGACCCCAUAAUUCGCGUCCAAUAAUUUGAGUCCCUUGGCUUUCAAUUAUUGGGCUGCGCAUUAUUGGUACAGGUCGAGAAAGCCCGACCCAAUAAUGUACGACCCAAUAAUAGGAAGCCAAAAACCAGAGAGAUUCUUUUUUUUAAGGGAGCUGUCAAAAUUAGUAGGGACGUUCUGACAUUAGCUCUUGACAAUUUAAAAAUAAUCGGUUUUUUCUAGUGCCAUCUUUCAGUGACAUUGACAGUAUUGUAUUGACAGUUGUUGGUUUACAAAUACAAUAAAAUGAAUUCUAAUAAAAGAAACAGUAGACUCAGUAGAGGUACGAGGUACUGAAAAAAUAUUAAUUAAUGGAGAAGCCGAAGUUGGAGGAAAACAAGAAGAUUCGAGGAGAAUGGUGUGGCACUUAAUGCCGCCGGGACAGUAACCUAGCUGCAGCUCCAACUCUAGGGAAUUGGGCUGAAUGAACGCAACACGUGAUCGACAGCCCACCUGCUUCCUGCCGAGCGUCCCUACACUACAUCUACAUGGAUUCGCUUAUUCUGCUCUACAAAACUUCUAAAACAAUACAAAUAAUACAGGAAGAAGAGAUUAAACAACAGGCGGUCUUAUCGCUAAAAAGCGAUCUCUUCCAGACAACCUUACUACUUUUGAGGUUAGAACAACCCACGAAAACAUUUAAUGUAAAGUGUUGCCAAGACUAGUUGCAUAAAGCUUUUACACUAAAAAAGUUAUCAGAUCCCGUAGUAGGUACCAAGACUUUUACUCUGUCAUUCCUAACUUUAUAAGCUCUAACAGUAUAAAGCCAACAUCUUGGUCAAACAGUACGGCUUGGCCGUUUCGUUGGUGUCAUACUCAUAUGGACAAUCCCGUAAUGACACUUUCAGAAUUUGAAAGACCUUUGUUGCUACUUUGUACAACAAGUCCACUGAGGGAGUGUUUGUAAAAACGACAUAUCAGUUUAUAUAAACUACGAUAAUACAAGGUCAUAUAAGCAGGCAUAAUUUUAAAACAUUUAACAUUUAGGUUUUCAGAAAAGUUACGUACCUAUUUCUAGCGACAUCUAUGUAUGUAGGGCCUAUAUAAAAUAAGCCAGGAAAGUUAUGAAAGUGAAUUAAAGUUCAUGUUGCACUGAUAAAAUCAUUUUAAACAAAUAUUCUAAAUAUAAUUAUUCUCAAAUUUCAGGAGCUGAUACAAGCAGCCAGAAUGAGUCUCUGCUGAGUCGCCGGCGCCGGACGUGCGUCGCGCGCCUCGGGCGACUGACGUCUUCGUGUGAGUCGCCAAUUGCAGGGGAAGAUACGAAUAGUUAGGUAUAAAAGCUACUUUAGUCAACCUCGCCUCAGUACUGUUUGUAUUGACUGAAAUACAAGUAGCAUAUAUGAGACGUUCGGACUUAUCCGUGAAAAUACGAAGGUAAAGGAAAUUGCACUACAUUUUUAGAACCUAUUCACCUGUCAGUAAAAUAUUGAAAAGGAAAGUUCAUGAGUUUUAUUAUUUUCUUUCCUCCAACAGCUUCACAUGGAGCAAAUGUAAACCUUUUAUGUUAAUAAAUAUCAGUAAUGUCAAGGUACAACGCUCUUUAGAGCAUAUUGCCAUUCCUUUUACUCGAGUGGCCUGUGGGUUAACUAUACGAAGCGAGCCUACGAUGCAUUAAAAGUGCAGUAUAACAAUGCAUUCAGAAUGCUGUUGGGCUUACCUCGUAGAUGUAGUGCAUCUGGCAUGUUUUGCGAAGCUAGAAGUUUUCUGGCAAUCAUGCGCAAGAAAAUAGUAUCUCUGCUAGGUCGAGUUAGAAGCAGUCCCAAACAUACAUGUUCGAAAAGUAGAACUCCCUUAGUAGGCCAAGCAAUAAGAAGUUAUAGAGGGAAAUGCUAGGAACACAAUUUUUGACUACGUAACUUUGUUUGGACUAGUUAGGAGGUGAACAUAUCAAAAGUCCCCGGCUGUAGCCCCGGUGCUGGGGGGUAGACUAGUUAUAGUCCAAACAAAGUUACGGAGUCAAAAACUGUGUUCCUAGCAUUUCCCUCUACAACGUUUUUUGAGCAUUCAUUUCCUGACCUAUAGAUCGUGUUUCAAUUUAUCGCCUCUCGUUGGCAAUUAAGGUGGUUCGCUUUCCAUACAAAAAAAACAAUUACAUAAGUACCUAAUAGUGUGUAAUUACUUAAUAUAACGCAAUUGUUUUUUGUAUGGAAAGCGAACCACCUUAACUAUUCGCACAACGUUUUGUAGUUGCAGUAAGUACUUACAUAUGGCCGGUUAAAUUUUCGAAAUAGGUAUGUAUUUACGUACAGUGCUAAUUGCCGCACAUAGAAUAAUUAAAGUUUGAUCAAUCGGAAUAUGUUCCUAAGUCACUUAUUACAUUUCGAAUUAUAAGUCUGUAUUUUACAGCUUUAGAUGUGCAUGACUGCAUAUGCACAUCUAAAGCUGAAAAAUGCUUUCAUGAAAUUAUGGCUAAAUUAUGUUAAUAGGGACAAAUGUAUCAUUUUCAACCAAAUGGGUUCUUAUUAUCUGUUGUCAAUAAGGCGCUAUUUCCAUAAAGCUUCAAUUUGAAAUCAGCCUCGUCGACAACCGACAAUGUUAACCUUUUGGUUGAAAACGUCACAAAUUAUGGCGAUAGAGAAUACAAUGUUCUGUUGCCAGAGUGCAGCACUAGUAAAACCCGUAAACGAGUGAAUUGCAAAAAAGUGUAGGUAACACAAUGGAAUAUUCACAAAAAUAUGAAAGAAUGUAACACAAAAUGAAGAAAAUGUAUGUGUUUUUUUUUGUGUUACGUCACACAAAGGACGCCAAAAUCGACGCCGCAAUAUUUUUCACGACGUGUAGAAUAAAAGUGGCGUCGAAUUCAGGAAUCCGCAAAUACUAUGGUAGCCGAUAGCCAAGUAAUUUAUCAAUAGAACAAUGUUAAAACAGUAGUAGAAACGGUGAGCUUUGCAAACUUUUAGUAGAUUGGUUUGGUUUUGGUAGAUUUCUCGGUUUGGCAUGCUUGAUGCUCUUCACAUCACCACAGACGGAGGUCGACAGUUCGAAUCUGUCUUGUUCAACCAAUUGAUGGAGGCACAUAUGCACGCAUACGAAGUAUACGAACCACAUAUUACACUACCAUCCUGGAGCUAAUUGGAUUACUUGCAUCUACUAUUAUAGUAUAUACCUAUGCCUUAUUUUUACGCCUAAGACCCUAAGCUUUUAACAAAAACCAUUAUUUCUUUUAUACCUACGGGCGGUUUAGCUCCCGUACCUACCUCUAUUAUACCUAGCCACGUGCUAAAGCAACAAUGUCCUUUAAAUCCGUAUCCCGUAUCGUGAUAGUAUUAAGAUUCAACUCGUCUACAUCGAGGUGGUCGAUCGUCCUAAAUACAUUACCAAAACAUGUUAACUCGUAUGAGCCGUUACAUAGAUUUGAACCUUAAUACUAUCAUGAUAAUUAUUGAUUAAUAUUUUUAAAUAAUUUGUUAAGCAUAUUUACACUUGCAAAUAUACACUUGCAGCAUUCUAAUAUUAUGGUAUGGUAAACAUAUAACAUGUUAUAUAUUCGCGAU